GGCGGCAUGCCUUACACAUGCAAGUCGAACGGCAGCACGGGGGGUAACUCCUGGUGGCGAGUGGCGAACGGGUGAGUAAUAUAUCGGAACGUGUCCUGUAGCGGGGGAUAACCUAUCGAAAGAUGGACUAAUACCGCAUACGCUCUACGGAGGAAAGCGGGGGUUCUUGGGCAACUGAGGACCUCGCACUAUAGGAGCGGCCGAUAUCGGAUUAGCUAGUUGGCGGGGUAAAAGCCCACCAAGGCGACGAUCCGUAGCUGGUCUGAGAGGAUGAUCAGCCACACUGGAACUGAGACACGGUCCAGACUCCUACGGGAGGCAGCAGUGGGGAAUUUUGGACAAUGGGCGCAAGCCUGAUCCAGCCAUGCCGCGUGAGUGAAGAAGGCCUUCGGGUUGUAAAGCUCUUUCGGCAGGAACGAAAUGGUUCGUGUUAAUACCACGGACUGAUGACGGUACCUGAAGAAGAAGCACCGGCUAACUACGUGCCAGCAGCCGCGGUAAUACGUA
rnacentral:rRNA from 1 species